rnacentral:rRNA from 1 species
UGCAGUCGAGCGGACAGAUGGGAGCUUGCUCCCUGAAGUUAGCGGCGGACGGGUGAGUAACACGUGGGCAACCUGCCUUUUAGACUGGGAUAACUUCGGGAAACCGGAGCUAAUACCGGAUAAUCAAACGGUUCGCAUGAACCGCUUGUAAAAGAUGGCUUCGGCUAUCACUAAGAGAUGGGCCCGCGGCGCAUUAGCUAGUUGGUGAGGUAACGGCUCACCAAGGCAACGAUGCGUAGCCGACCUGAGAGGGUGAUCGGCCACAUUGGGACUGAGACACGGCCCAAACUCCUACGGGAGGCAGCAGUAGGGAAUCUUCCGCAAUGGACGAAAGUCUGACGGAGCAACGCCGCGUGAGUGAUGAAGGUUUUCGGAUCGUAAAACUCUGUUGUUAGGGAAGAACAAGUAUCGUUCGAAUAGGGCGGUACCUUGACGGUACCUAACGAGAAAGCCACGGCUAACUACGUGCCAGCAGCCGCGGUAAUACGUAGGUGGCAAGCGUUAUCCGGAUUUAUUGGGCGUAAAGCGCGCGCAGGCGGUUUCUUAAGUCUGAUGUGAAAGCCCACGGCUUAACCGUGGAGGGUCAUUGGAAACUGGGAAACUUGAGUGCAGAAGAGGAGAGUGGAAUUCCAUGUGUAGCGGUGAAAUGCGUAGAGAUAUGGAGGAACACCAGUGGCGAAGGCGACUCUCUGGUCUGCAACUGACGCUGAGGCGCGAAAGCGUGGGGAGCGAACAGGAUUAGAUACCCUGGUAGUCCACGCCGUAAACGAUGAGUGCUAAGUGUUAGAGGGUUUCCGCCCUUUAGUGCUGCAGCUAACGCAUUAAGCACUCCGCCUGGGGAGUACGGCCGCAAGGCUGAAACUCAAAGGAAUUGACGGGGGCCCGCACAAGCGGUGGAGCAUGUGGUUUAAUUCGAAGCAACGCGAAGAACCUUACCAGGUCUUGACAUCCUCUGAUCUCUCUAGAGAUAGAGCUUUCCCUUCGGGGACAGAGUGACAGGUGGUGCAUGGUUGUCGUCAGCUCGUGUCGUGAGAUGUUGGGUUAAGUCCCGCAACGAGCGCAACCCUUGAUCUUAGUUGCCAGCAUUCAGUUGGGCACUCUAAGGUGACUGCCGGUGACAAACCGGAGGAAGGUGGGGAUGACGUCAAAUCAUCAUGCCCCUUAUGACCUGGGCUACACACGUGCUACAAUGGACGGUACAAAGGGCAGCAAGACCGCGAGGUGGAGCUAAUCCCAAAAAACCGUUCUCAGUUCGGAUUGCAGGCUGCAACUCGCCUGCAUGAAGUCGGAAUCGCUAGUAAUCGCGGAUCAGCAUGCCGCGGUGAAUACGUUCCCGGGCCUUGUACACACCGCCCGUCACACCACGAGAGUUUGUAACACCCGAAGUCGGUGGGGUAACCGUAAGGAGCCAGCCGCCG